rnacentral:rRNA from 1 species
GACGAGGCGUGCCUAAUACAUGCAAGUCGAGCGGACAGAAGGGAACGCUGGCGCUUGCUCCCGGAUGUUAGCGGCGGACGGGUGAGUAACACGUGGGUAACCUGCCUGUAAGACUGGGAUAACUCCGGGAAACCGGAGCUAAUACCGGAUAGUUCCUUGAACCGCAUGGUUCAAGGAUGAAAGACGGUUUCGGCUGUCACUUACAGAUGGACCCGCGGCGCAUUAGCUAGUUGGUGAGGUAACGGCUCACCAAGGCGACGAUGCGUAGCCGACCUGAGAGGGUGAUCGGCCACACUGGGGCUGAGACACGGCCCAGACUCCUACGGGAGGCAGCAGUAGGGAAUCUUCCGCAAUGGACGAAAGUCUGACGGAGCAACGCCGCGUGAGUGAUGAAGGUUUUCGGAUCGUAAAGCUCUGUUGUUAGGGAAGAACAAGUGCAAGAGUAACUGCUUGCACCUUGACGGUACCUAACCAGAAAGCCACGGCUAACUACGUGCCAGCAGCCGCGGUAAUACGUAGGUGGCAAGCGUUGUCCGGAAUUAUUGGGCGUAAAGGGCUCGCAGGCGGUUUCUUAAGUCUGAUGUGAAAGCCCCCGGCUCAACCGGGGAGGGUCAUUGGAAACUGGGAAACUUGAGUGCAGAAGAGGAGAGUGGAAUUCCACGUGUAGCGGUGAAAUGCGUAGAGAUGUGGAGGAACACCAGUGGCGAAGGCGACUCUCUGGUCUGUAACUGACGCUGAGGAGCGAAAGCGUGGGGAGCGAACAGGAUUAGAUACCCUGGUAGUCCACGCCGUAAACGAUGAGUGCUAAGUGUUAGGGGGUUUCCGCCCCUUAGUGCUGCAGCUAACGCAUUAAGCACUCCGCCUGGGGAGUACGGUCGCAAGACUGAAACUCAAAGGAAUUGACGGGGGCCCGCACAAGCGGUGGAGCAUGUGGUUUAAUUCGAAGCAACGCGAAGAACCUUACCAGGUCUUGACAUCCUCUGACAACCCUAGAGAUAGGGCUUUCCCUUCGGGGACAGAGUGACAGGUGGUGCAUGGUUGUCGUCAGCUCGUGUCGUGAGAUGUUGGGUUAAGUCCCGCAACGAGCGCAACCCUUGAUCUUAGUUGCCAGCAUUCAGUUGGGCACUCUAAGGUGACUGCCGGUGACAAACCGGAGGAAGGUGGGGAUGACGUCAAAUCAUCAUGCCCCUUAUGACCUGGGCUACACACGUGCUACAAUGGACAGAACAAAGGGCUGCGAGACCGCAAGGUUUAGCCAAUCCCACAAAUCUGUUCUCAGUUCGGAUCGCAGUCUGCAACUCGACUGCGUGAAGCUGGAAUCGCUAGUAAUCGCGGAUCAGCAUGCCGCGGUGAAUACGUUCCCGGGCCUUGUACACACCGCCCGUCACACCACGAGUAACGAGUUUGCAACACCCGAAGUCGGUGAGCUUUAUGGAGCCAGCCGCCGAAGGUGGGGCAGAUGAUUGGG